CAGACGAGAGGUGGCUAGGUGGCACCCAGAUGUGAGCUGAGCACACGGGGCUGCUGGAACAGACACUGAUCAGGUCUCACCUGGGCAGGGCAGGAAAGGAUGGACAGCAGCUGGAAGGGUAGGUGGCUUGAGGCAAAAUAACCCGCUGGGAUUAGUAGGACAUAUUUGGGCACGACAGCCCUUUGACCCACACUUGGUUAUCUCACUUGAAAACGUGAUCUGAGCAGAUGAUGCAAACUGAAUCUUUUUUUUUUUUUUUUUGCAGUGACUUUUGGGAGAUGAUAAAAGCUGGGUUUUGGAACUAGUUCCACCUAAUUGCAGUCCAAGCUCUGUGCUUCCUGGCUUUGUGCCUUGGACAUGCUGGGUCACCUCUCAGAUAUCAAGUUUCCUCAUCUGUGACACCCCUCCAGUUUUUAUGUUUGUUUUGGGGUUUUUUUGUUUGUUAUCUAUUGCUUCAGAGUUCCUGAGAGGUGAAAAUACAAUCAUGAUGUGAAGUCAUGGGGCAGAGACAUCACAGGGGCACCUCAGUGGUGGUGAACCCUGCCGCUCUCACGCCAGCAUCAUCUUUAACACAGAAACAGCCUAGAAAUCUAACCACAGAGGGAUGAUUAAUAAUUAAUGCUUCUGGCUCCGCCCUGCAAAAUAUAACCCAACCGUGUCCCCACUAUCAGGUUGGACGAAGAUGGAGAUUAUGAAUACCAGUUUUACACUAUUUGUAAGUACAAUGAAUGGAAGAAAAUAUGAAAAUGGAAACAAUAUGCCCAGUAAGCAUCACAGGAGCUCCUUUUUUUUCUUUUUAUAAACAUCAUAUUCAAAAUUACACAAUUAUUUGCCCUGACAAAAGCAGUUUCUUUCUGUGGGUGCUGCUCCUUCCCUGUGCUGGAAUAUUACCACAAACUUGCUAAGCAGGAUAGAUGUACUCUCUCAUGGGCCUAGAGGGCAGAAGGCUGAGAUCAAGACGUCACCGGUCCCCUGAGGUCUGGGAGAGACUUCAGCCCAUCCUAGGCUCAAUCCCCAAUACUGCAAACACAAAAUGAAAAGUUUAAAAGCUUGCUUGUGGCCACCUCAGUCCCAGCUUCCAUCAGAGACUCCUGCAUCUCUGCCCACUCUCAGCUUCUCCUGCUCCUUCACCUGCCUUGGAGUCUACCCCAAAUGCAAAUGACAGUGGCUGACUCUUGCACUGUGAUAAGCCCUCAAUCCGUAGCCUGCUGUCAUCUGGGCGGCCUCCAUCUCUCUUUAUUCUGCUCUGAGUGCUCCUACUUCCUGAUUGUGUCCUGUGACGAUGAACCAUGGCAACCGCAUAGGGCCUGGCAUAGAAUAGAUGCCACAUAAAUUUACUGUUCCUCAGACUGAUUGCAAACUGCACUCCCCUUCCUCCCCCUGGAGAUCCUUGAUCCGGGGUAGUUGAGACUGUGGGUACCAGCAGUGGAGUGGCUGUGAGGAGGAAGCACCAGGACUGCAGGCAGGGAGCAGGCCCUGCAGGGUCACUGUGGGGCCACUCUGCCCUCAUGGUCCUGGGACCGUAGGAUUCUCCUGUUUGUUAGCCGUGCCCGGACACACACAACUUCUGAAGCACGAGGAAGUCCAUUUUCUGGAGCUUGCAGAGGUUCUUCUGGAUUUUUACAAAAUUCAAAAUAUGUUUUUCAAGCUGUUGAUUAGCUCUGCUUAAGACUGUUUGGCCAAGAACACAUGAAAUUUAUUUAACACUUCCAACGUGGAGCCUUUGACUGAUAUCUUUGUGUUCUAAAUUCAAUUUGCCCACCAGUAAGAAUUCUGUCAUGAGGGGCUGGGGAUUUAGCUCAGCGGCAUAAACGCCUGCCUUGCAAGCAGGCAGUUGUGAGUUCAAUCCCUGGUACCGGUAAAAACGAAAAAGACAAAAAAAAAAAAAAAAAAAAAAAAAGAAUUCUGUCAUGAGAAUUUAUGAAGUGUGAUCAAAAUCUAUGGUGAAUGUUCAACUUUUUUCAGAGUAAAAGACACAUUUCCAUGAAUUCCCCCCAAACUCAGCCCCUUGCUUCAAUACACUUAUCCCAUCCUGCUUAAGACCUUCUGAAGCAGUUCUAGGAGUCCUCUUUCGUGAGUGUCUCUACGUGGUUGAUAAAAAACACAACGAAUGUGGCUGCCACUCCAUCCAUCAGAAAAGCAGUAUGACCCCACCCACUUCACUUACCGGAUCUGAGACUGGGUGACUUGGGGCUCUCCCCAAAAUCAAAACAACCACGAAGGUAAGCAUUCUGAAUCUGUGCAGGAGGCUGACUGAGGAGUCACCACGGUGCAACCGUCACAACAGGGCACCCCAGACCUGCUUCACGAAGUGCCAAGGACAGUGGGGUAAGUGUGUCUGAAGCAAGAUGGUGAAUCUGGACGGAGAUUAAUGGCAGUCAUAUCCUGUAUUUUACAAAGACAAAAAGCUUGCCUCCACCCCACACUUUCCCUCAUUUUUGCCUCUUCCCCUCAUUGUAGAGCUCUCCAACUCACGUGCCUUAUCUCUGAGGCUUUGCAUGUGCUGUUCCCAUCACCUGGGGUGGCCUCUCUGCUCAGUCAUCCAGUGAACCCAACAGUCCAUUAGACCUCAGCACGGCUGGACUGGCAUACAUGGGGUACAUACUGUGACCUCAACACUCUGGGAGGCUGAGGCAGUAGGAUCACAGGUUUGAACCCAUUUUGGCUACUUUAGCAACUUGGUGAGACCUUGUCACUAAAUAGAAAGUUUUAAAAGGUCUUGGGAUAUAGCUCGGUGUAAGGGUCCUGAGCUCAAUCCUCGGUACUGAAAACAAAUAAACAAAAAAAAACCCUCAAAACAAAGACUAAACGUGAGCAUCACCUCUUCUGUGACGUCCUCACUGACACCGGAGUAUAAAAUCCAUGCCUCCUCAUCUCCCUACUACAGCAUGGGUCACACCUGGCAGCUGCUCGGAGUCUGCCUCCCCAGGGGUGACACAGUUAACUUUGCAUAAAGCUAAGAUUUUUGGUUUUGAAACUGAAGAAUAAAUUUGAGCACAAAAGGAGGAACUUACAAGAGUGUUUACUAGAAAUAAGAAGAAAAAAGUUCUUGGUGCCAAUCCCAUCCGACAUUCCGCCAUGAACUGUGGCCCCGCCAUGCCUCCCUGCCUUGGAGCCAGCUGAGUAUAGACUGAAACCCCCCAAAACUGUAAGAAAUAAACCUUUCCUUUCCCAACUUUGGGCUUCAGGUAUUUUGUCUCAGCAAUGAGUAAAAAGUAACUAAGACAGUUACCCUAGGUAGAAGUCAGGUUGAGGUUUAGCAGCUAGGGACUCCCUUAAGAAGGUCGAUCUAAUGGACCUUGGUAAAAAGAGUUGGGCACAUUUACUAUUAGCUUUAUCUUUAUGACCAUCUGAUAUUUUUCAGGCAAGGAGGAAUAAAUUUUAUUAUGAAGAGAAGCAGCCACGUCUAGACACUUUUUAAGGGACUGGAGAAGGGAUUGAAACCAACUGGGUCCUAGACCUUUCUAUUUACAGACGUUAUCUAUAAGUCUGACAUUUUAUGGUUUAAGAACCUUUUUUAACCUGAUGUUAUUUAUCUACCAACAACAAGUUUUACUUAUUAAUAUGUAAGUCUCUCUAAUUUUGGCAGUAAAGAUAUGGAGCGUUUUAUAGUUUUGAAGGACAAUUUUAGUUAAGGAAUUUAAAGAAUUUUGUCAAGCUUUUAUAGCUGCCCUUGUGGCCUCUCAGCCCCACUGAGCCAUAGUAAUGACAAGCUGCACCUGCAGCUGCUGACCGACAGGGGUCCAGGGCUGGGCGGAAGCCUCCUGUCUAUAUUCAGCCCGCAUAAUUAUCUUAUAUGUCCACAUCUCAUUUCGGUUACACCUUCCUACCGGUAUUUAAGGCCAAGGUAAAGUGAGAAUGGUGUUAGUUAAAAUGAACUCUUUAUACAUCAAGGCUAGUGGCCGCUCCUCAGGAACUAUUUUUGGGCCCACGUGUGAAGCCUCAGCUCUUUCACCGGUGUCAUCUGUCAGGAUGGGUCACAGUCUUGUGUGACCACAUGGCUUCUUUGGAAACAUGGGAGACAUUUUUCUCUUUGCUGAUCCUUUUUCCAGCACACUGGUUAACUCUGUCCUCCAGGGUCUAACAGUCUUCCUGUCUGGAAGGUAGGUGACUUAUUGACACUGUAGGACCUUUUUAGUGAGGUUUCGUCAUGUCCUGAAUCUUUGUUGAGCUUGGAGGGCCCGAGUGCCACACGGCUGCCCUCUUAGCCCAGUGACCUCUUUCUGAGCUUUGGUCUCUAAUCCAGUUGUUAAACACCCAGGUCAGUUUUAUCAGCAUUGAAGUGAGAGCGGUAACCAUCCUAAGCUUGUGUGGCUAUCAGGCACUUUGAAAUACAAAGUAUGGCUAGAAAACUGUCAUUUUCUUAUCAAUCAUGCUUGUUUUAGAAUAUUAACAGAUAACAGUUAUAAAGAUUUACAAGGAAAAUAUGAAACCAGGAGCAAACAUAGCAUCUUAGCAUAACAAUCAUGACAUUAGAACUAUUAUGUUUUUGUUAUCAUAGUAGAAAUAACUUUAAAUACAUAUUUUAUCAGUUGUUAUCUUUGUCUAUAAGAUAUUAAAUGACAUAAAUUUUUAUUUACAUUUUCUUUUAGUGAAGUGUCUUUUAACUAGAAUAUAUUUGUUUAUAGAGGUACUUUAUAGGUAAUUAGUGCCUAAUCUCUAAUCAUUAGAGUGACACUAUCUGAACUGUGUAAUAUUUUGAUACAUCUAUUAUAGCAUAAUUAUAUAUCAAUCACAUAAGCAUAAGCAUGUAAGAGUGUUUACAUCAUUUUGCUGUCUCCUAUUGGAUUGGCAUGUACAUUUUAUCACUAGUUGGAAUACAAGUAAGAAAAAGCCAGAUGUUUGAGCCUGAAAAAGUUUUCACUGUAAACAGCUAUAGUAUGGAAGUCAUUAGUAUGAUAAGAUGUUUUUUAAGUUUUGUAUUUUUGAAGGCCUGUACCCUUGGGAAACAUAAACAUAUUUAAUAUACCAUGAAGUAUUACUAGCAUCAAAGCAGUGUAGAAAUCUUUAUAUAUAUAUAUAUUUAGUUUUUAUUCUCAUGGCAAAAUUUAGACUCUAAGAACAUGACCUUCCCAUGAGCCAGGGGCAGCCAUGGGGAACUGGAAGAGAAUCAAGAAGCCAAACCAUGCCUUCCUGUGAGGCAGCCAGGAGACAAGAAGAGCAACACCACCACCAGCGGCAUCCCUGUAAGCCACUGUCUGAUUCAGAGGAACUCAGGCUGGGAUGACAGCAACUAAAGUAAAAAAAAAAACCUUGAAAAACAUUAAAGGACAUUCUUAAACCUUUUAUGUUAGGAAAUAGUAUUAUCGAUCUCCAAUAGGCUUAUUAUCCAAUACAUAACAUACACUAUUUUACAUUAUAAUGUAUAUUACAUAAUGUAUUUCAUUUAUAUAGUACAGAAUGUUUAAUCAAAAUCAAUAGAGGUAGAUCAAGUUUUAAAUUGUUACCAGAUUGUCUGGGUUUGGUGGCACAUGCCUGUAAUCUCAGCACUCUGGAGGCUGAGGCAGGAGAAUUGCCUGGAGUCCAAGGCCAACCUGAACUACAUAGUGAGACCCUGUAUCAAAAAAACUAAAAUUGUUACCGGAUUUUAGGGUGCUAGAAUCUCCUUCUGCAGGUGAUUUCUAAGUUCUUUCUGCCCUGAGCAAAGAAUUAGUCAAGACAAGUGCAAAUGGUAGCAAAGUUUCAUUAAAGGUAGGAAAAGAAACAGGUUCUGCAGAGUGAGUUUGGACAAAGUAAAAGCAGGAUAAAAAUGUGAAGGUAGGCCACUAUGAAAGAGAAAACAGGGUGGCACAAACUGAAUCGUGACUGUCCUAUUUGUAUCACCCUCUCCUCAGACUGAGGUCAGGUCUAGGCCAGCCUAUUGAAAACUUGCUCCAGUCUUCAUGAGAAGUUCACAUGCAGGGCUUUGGAAUCUGUUCUGCAAAUGCAUCCUGGGAUUUGCUAAUUAACAGAUCACACAUUUCUUUCCCAGACAGCUUUGCCUUGCCCUAAUCUCCUCAAAAUGGCAGGACCAAGUUUAAAGAUAUGUCAAAAAAUCUUGAUUAUUUUAUAUACCUAGAGUCUAAAUGUAUAAAACAGAGUAUUUAUUAGUUACUUUGUAUGUAUUAAGGUUAUCUAAUCUUAACUCUAUAAAUUAAACUUUAAAGCUUGGAUUCACAGCAUAUAUUGUUUUUAGACUAUAUAUAUACAUAUAUACACAUAGAUAUAUUCCCAGAUAAGUAGGUGAAAUCAUAAACUAAGAAAACAGUUGUUUAUUCAUCUAACCAUAAACUGAUUAUUGGAAGCAUUUUAUAAGGCAAUAUUUAAGUAAUCUUUAACUCUUAAAACUCAACUUUUAUUAACUAAAGGUCUAACAAUGGGAAACAUAAGAGCCCAUUUAGUAAAAUAUAGAAUCUUCAUUUUUUAAAAAAUUUACCUUUGUGAUUUAACCAAGAAUGUUUUUUAAAAAAAAUUUUAUUUAAAAGGAAAAAGAGAAAAAACAAAACAAAACAAAGUGGUGUAAGGGUACAAGUAAUACAGAACUACAAAAAAAAAAAACAGUAAGAAAUCACCAGUUAAUAGAUUACACAUUAUCGUCUUAGAGACAGUUGCUCAAGUCACAGUAUCAAAGCAUACAAAGUGAACAUUCAAACAGAGUCUACAAACAGUUGUGUUCAAUGAUCCAACCAAAAACAUUAAUAUGGUCAGCUAUUCAACACCCCUAAACACACUUGCAGUUGUAUCCUUUAGAGCACUUUUUUCCCCUCUCUUUUUUACAACAAAAUUUACACAUUUUGGGUUUUAUUACUCCUUAGUUCUUAUUACUUUUUUUUUGGAAGAGAAUAAAGUCAAAUAUGGCAAAACAAAGCUGUCAGUCAAAACCAAGGAUAGACAUAGUACAUGAUGUAAGAACAGAGUAUAAGGUUAUCAACAAUGGUUACCAUAAUGUCUCUUGUUUCCUUAAAAAGAAUUGUCUAUCUCAUUAGGUAUUAUAAAGUUGAACAAAAAGAAUGUCUUAAUAUCUUCAGAAAACCUUAUUAUUUUAAACAUAGCUUAGUCUUUUAAUUAUAACCAAUUUAAAUAUAUUAUAAUAAUUCAUUUAAUAAUAUUUGUUGGUGGUAUAUUAGGUAGACUCUGGGAAAAACCAAAGAAGUCACCAGUUAGUAGGGAAAACUGAAGAAAUUGGUUCAGGCAGCUGCUAUUGCAGGGACAUUUUGUCUGGCAGUUGCCCAAGACCAAGGGGUCCCCAUUUUUAUUUAUCUUAACAAUUAUUUUAGAUGAUUCAUGAGAACCAAAUCAUAGCAGUUAACACUUUAAAGCUAUAUAUAUUACCUUUAACAAAGGAAAAAUUCUUAUACACAAACAACAAUAGACCUUGUAUUUAUAAAUCCAUUUUUAUCUUCACAGGCUAGUAACCUGUAUGGAAACACGUUACCAAAUUUUUUUUUUUUUUGUCUUUUUCCUUUUUAUCGGUACCAGGGAUCGAACUCACGACCGCCUGCUUGCAAGGCAGGCGCUUAUGCCACUGAGCUAAAUCUCCAGCCCCCACAUGUUACCAAUUUUAAAAAAUAUUUUUAUUCUUGGGGCUGGGGAUUUAGCUCAGUGGCAUAAGCACCUGCCCUGCAAGCAGGUGGUCGUGAGUUCAACCCCCGGUACGGAUAAAAAUAAAAAAGACAAAAAAUAAAUAAAUAAAAAUAUUUUUAUCCUUAUCAACCAAUUGAAAUUAGUCUGCUGUUACGCUGUGUGAACAAUGAGCAUUUGCGCUAAUAUCAUGAGUGUCCACUUACUAGCCAAAGAAAAUAGAACAUAUGUUUGAAAAUUAACACACAGAAACAUGUACAUUUACCUAAGUAUACAUAAUCUUUGUCAUCAAACCUUAAGGUUUUUACCUGUAAGCCUCUUGUAAGCCUAAAACCUACCAAGUUUUUUGGUGAUUUUUAUUCUAAAGAGAAUAAAACCAAGAAAAACAAAACAGAAUAAAGGAAUUACCAAAUAUAUAUUUAAUAUAUAUAUAUAUAUAUAUAUAUAUAUAUAUAUAUUAAGUUUGGCUAUUCUGAAAACUCAAAUAUCCAGUUUUCCAUUGAGAGUCUCAAAAAGAGGCUAGAAAAAAUGAAAUUGAUAUACGGUCAAAAAAUCUUUAACGAAGCAGCCAUAGGUACCUUAACUAGUAUUAAAACACAUUAAACAGGCAAAUGAGUGAGUAAUACAGAACAUAAUAAUUUCUUACAGGUACUUUUACAUUACACUGCACUUUUACAUGGGCCAAGUCUGAGGUUAAAAAAGGCUGCUAAAGUCUAAUUUAGCAUAUUUUGAUAAGCAUCUUCUUCCUAGAAGGAAGAUCCCUUAUCUCUCUAUUUUAUGCUUUAUUCUCAUUUGCCUUUGUAUCUUUCAGCUUGAAUUAGCUGUCUGAAUCAGUUAAUUAACUUGCGAGCGAUGUUUCUUUUUUUAAUCUGAUGCUACUAUUAUCGGAUUCUGUACUCUUGCCAGGUCCUUGGUGUCCUGAAACAAACAAUUGGGCAAGACAUGCAAAGUAGGUAGCAAGAUUGUAUACCUGUUAAAGAUAGGAGAAGAAAUAUGCUCUGCAGAGUGAGAACAUUUCACUGAGAGUUCACAAUGGCCAGAAGGUUAAUGGUAAAAGACUUUUGUAUCCCUUUUUCUUAAGGCUGACAUCAGAUCAAGGCCAUUGUCGUAGUUACUUUGUACUCAUCACUGAGACAAAAUACCUGAAGCCCAAACUUGGGAAAGGAAAGGUUUAUUUCCUACAGUUUUUUGGAGGUUUCAGUCCAUACUCAGUUGGCUCCAAGGCAGGGUGGCAUGGCUGGGCCACAGCUCAUGGUGGCUGCAAACAGCAAGACAGAAACCGGCAAGAGAGCUGGCUGGCUACUGCUCCAGCUGGCAGCAAACCUUGGUGGCAUCCACAUGGUGCUGAUUUUAGGUACAAGGAAAAUGCACAAAUUCUGAGGGUAAGAUGGCUUCCACCUCGAUCGUAAAGGGCCUGGGAGGCCAAACGGUGUGCCCCUGAGAGAGCAAUUUGUAAAGAUGUAAGGGUGAAGCCAAAGGUGCAGUGGAGACCCCAAAAGUUUGGAAAAGCCAGGAACAUGGAUCAUCCAAGGAAAGCUGCAAGAAGUGAGCAUCGAGGGUUUAAGAGACAAGCUGUGGGAGCUGAUAUCCCUGGAAGUGCCGUGGGAGUGGAAUCACCCAAGCCUUUUGGAGCUUGCAACCAGAUUGCUUCAAAUGCUGGGCAUGAAACUCUAGGACUUACUGUUAGCCCUGCUGGAUGUUGGGCUUGCUUUGUUUCCAAUGCUUUAUAUUCCCGUUUGUAACUUUUGGAAUGGUAAUGUUUAUCUUGUGCCUUUGCAUUUCAGAAAUGUUUAACCUUGUUUCAUUUGUACAGGGGGUUACAGGUAAGAGUUUGCCAUAGAUCUUGGAGGAAACUAGGGACUUGGACUGUUGAGCAAUGCUGAAACUAUUAGGACUUUGGCAACUCUUGGAGAUGGACUAAAUAAAUAUCUUUUGUAUAAAAGAUGUACAUGAGUCCUGGGGGCCAGGGGUGGAAUGUCAUGGUUUAUGUUGGUGGCCCCAGGCCUCAUGCAUUUGCAUUAUGCAUUUGUGAUUGGUUCAUUGUCUAGGGCUUGGAUUGGGGAUGUGAGUGCUACACUGGCCUAGGGGUGGAGCCAGGAUGUGAUGUAAUGGCAGGAAGAAGGUGUGUCUUGCUCUUUUGCGGGGUUUCUGCCUUGCUGUAGCAGCUGCCAUGAACUGCAGCCCAGCCAUGCCACCUUGCCUUGGAGCCAACUGAGUAUGGACUGAAACUCCAAAAACUGUAAGAAAUAAAACUUUCCUUUCCCUA